GGAAAAGUGGCAGAGUGGUCGAAUGCGACGGACUCGAAAUCCGUUUUACGGUAGCAACCGUAACGAGGGUUCGAAUCCCUCCUUUUCCGCCA
rnacentral:tRNA from 1 species